CAGGUGAAUAGGUGUGCAGUUAAUGGUGUGAGGUUCAGCAGGCGGUCUCAGUGUCGAAACCGUGGGGGUUACGCUGGCACUUCUGUCGAGAAUGAUUGUAAAUCUGUACGUUCCCCUGUAAACUGUUCUGUGGGGAUUUCCUGAACACAUUAAUAAACAUGAUUUGAUCCAACA